AUUACUAUUUCACAGUUCUUCGGAUUGCACGAUAUUUCAACUCUUGGUGUAACUGUUGAAUGGUGCUUUUCUUUUUUUAAAAAAUAGUAUUUGUACAUGUGCAUAUAUUUUAACUGUAGUGUGCUUUUGUACAGUGGUUAUUUUACAAUGGCAGUCACAUGUCUGGUGCAGGAUACUAUUAUACAUUGUAAAUAUUUUAAAUAAUAGAGUCUUAUAUUUUAGAAUAUUUCAUAUGAAAGUGUGAGUGUACCAGUCAGUAACUGGUGUUUCACAUUCUUGUUAAACAUCUAAGGGGAAAAACAGACUGGGUGGAAGGCAACUUACUGAAUCUAUUUCCAGAACUAUAAUAAAUGCAUACUUUAAAAAUUUACUUGAAGUAAAUUAUUGAAAACAAACACACUUUUUUGGUUUUUGUUAUUUUAUUUUGUUUUAUUUUCUUUGAAAGAUGUAGUAUAGUGCAGUGAUUGAAAACUACUGGACUCUGGUGCCUGGAUUCAAAUUCUGGCUCCACCACUUACUAGUCAGGUGAACUUCAGAAAGUUGUUUUAACUUCUUGGUCCCUCACUUUCCUUAAAGUAGAGGUAAUAAUUAUGUGUACCCAGCUCAUCUAGCUAUUAUGACAUAACUAGGUAAGUUAGGAUAUCGAAGGUUUUAAAAACACUAUUUAGCACAUAAUAAUUAGAAGCAUUGAUGAUAAUAGUGGUUAUUAUGUCAGUGUUAGUUAAAAUUUAGAGGUUUUUCCUCUAUGUAAACCAAGUGCCAUUUAGCGCCCCUUCUUGGUAAUACAAAAUAGGAGAACAGCUCUAUACCUCCUUAGUAUAUCUAAAGACUUUGAUAAGACAACAUAAAAAGAUGACUACCUGCUACCGUCUGCCUUUCCAUCUUGUAUAUUUUGCUUAUACUAUAUUCUUUUCAUAGAAUAUUAACAGAAACACAUCUUUCUUAAACCAAACAUAUUAAAAAAAAAACUUGGUAUUCAUUCUGUAUAUACAACUGAUCUGUCUACUUUCUUUAAUUCUAAUAAAUUGUUUUCAUCUCUCCCAUAAUUUAUAUAUGCCAGUUUUUAGGAGCUACAAAUAAUAAGUAUGUUUUGAUUUAGAAUUUUUACUGCGUUUGAAAUACUUUUGUAUUGAUCAGCUCAGCCUGGUAAAGAAAUUUUCCUCAGUGUUAAUACGUUUUGUCUUAUAAAUCAAUUUAUUAAUUACAUUAUUUUAUACUUCUUAUUUGCCCAGUUAUAUUCAGCGAUAUAAACUUUUAUCAGAGAGGCAAAAUACUUUGGUGGUUUAGGACAAGGAGGCAGAUUGAAGACACACUGCACAAGUUCAAAUUCAGGUUUCACCAUUUAUCAGCUGCUUUUAUUUUUCAGCAAGUUAUUUAACUUCUGUAUAUCUUAGAUUCUUCAUCUGUAAAAUGAGGAUAAUAAUAUCUUCUUAUAGAGAUUAUGUAAGGAUUAUAUGUAUUAAAAUAUGUAAUGUAAUUGGAAUGAUACCCAGUAUAUAAUGUCACUUAAGCUGUGUUUUGUGGAACCCAAUGACAUUCAGGAAUAUUUAGGGGCUGCCUAGAGUUUGAAUAAGAAUUAUUUCUGGUAGAAACAGAACAGAGAGAGUCUUGGGAGUUGGUAGGUGGGGGUCUCUGUCCUUUCCUUAAAUAGGAAGCUUGUAUUAUUUAAGCAAAAGUGAUUUUUUGUGUUUACACCUUAAAUUUUUGUGUAAGACUUGAUUUGAAGAAAAGUUUCCUCUGCUUAAUAAAGCUAAAAACAAAAACAACAAAAAUGUUUACUAGGUCAAAUAGAAACUUCUCGUCUAGACAGGAAAUUUUAAGGAUGAAUACACAGGAAGCAUCUGUUAUCCAUAAUCUAUGAGGAGAACAUCCAGCAGGUGGUUUGUACUCUUUGCAUUAAGAACUAUAAUUUCCCUAUUAGUAGCUACUUGGAAUAUUGUUGGUGAGAUGAGACACACCUCUGAGACAAGGUCCUACAACUUUAGAACCUUACUAAUGUUGGCUAGCAUUCAGUGAAUAUUUUUACAUGGCCUACUUAAUUAUUAAGUCUUGGAAAACUAAGACUGUGUCUUUUAUUUUAAAUACCCUGCAGUGCUAUAUAUACACAAUAGACAUAGAUUUGUUGCAUGGAUGUUGAAUAACAAUCUUUUACUAUAGAGCUACAAAGGGGGUUCUAUUUAAGGAGUUAGAACUUUUCCUUUCUUAUAUUUGUUCAAGAUCCGCCUGCAUUUCAGCUAAUAUAUUACUAUAUUAGGAAGUAUUGUUUAGAUGUAUUUACUAAUCUAGAAUUCUAUGAAUUGUGCUUCAUUUUAGCAGUUGUCUUUCCUCGAACUUAAAUCCUCUUGGUAAUAUUUGAAAAGUUGAAUUAUAGCUAAGAAUAGUAAUGUUUUCCUUACCAUACCUGCUUUCAUUCUACUUCUUUUGUGCUUAGCACAGUAGUUGUGGUUGAUUUAUUAGCAAGCUAGAACAUAUUUGGUGCCUCAUGUAUACAUAAACAUAUCUUCAACAAAAUCCAUGGUAGAAUACAUAAAACCUAACAACUAAACAUACAGAUUUCUUCUAUGCUUGAUUAAGACCUGUUUUAUUUAGAAUGAGGGAAUUAAAUGACUUGAGUGACGCUAGCAUUGACUUAUGUUUAAAAGAAGAAUUUUGUAGUAUUAGACAACAUCUUCCAAAGUUAAAUGAGCAUAAUGUGGUGUUCAGUACCACUAAAUUAUUAUCUUAGUCUGCUCAGACUACUGCAAUAAAAUAUUAUGGGCUAAGUAGCUUAUAAACAAGAGAAAUUUAUAUUUCACAGUUCUGGAGGCUGGGAAAUCCAAGAUCAGGGUGCCAGCAUGGUUGGGUUCUGGUGAGGGCCCUCUUCAGGGUUGCAGACUGCUGACUACUUGCUGUGUCCUCAAAUGGCAGAAGUAGUAAAUGAGCCUGCUCAGGCCAGCUACCUUUAUAAGGCACUAAUCACAUUCAUGAGGGUUCCCCACUGUGACCUAAUUCCCUCCCCAAAGGCCCAAUCUCCUAAUACUAUCUUCUAGGUACUUGCAUUUCAACAUAGGAAUUUUGGGGGACACAAACAUUCAGAUUGCAACAUUUUUUACUUUUUUUUUUUUUUUGCCAGAAUUUUUAAUAAAAUUAGAUGU